UUAAGACCUCUUCUCCUUUCCUUAAAGAAUUUUCAGCCGGGCCGCCCUCACCCCUCGGAAAAGGUCAAAGCAACUUUCCCUUCCUUUUUGGGUCUCAGCCGCCCUCCGGGAAAGGAUUUAACCCCUUCCUCACCCUCGAGCUGCCUCUGAUGCCCAGGAAAGGUUACAGCGACCAUCCUGCCCAUACCUCCGGCCCUUCCCCAAACCCGGGCAAAUGGUGCACUGACUCCUCUCACCCUCUUGGUUCUCCCCAUUUCUCCAGAGACCCUUUCUCUGGCCUCACCGGGAGCGCUGGAAUUUCUUCCAUAACCGAUACUCCGGGCUCCCUACCCGGACCGACUCCUCCCCCGCCCCCACAACCUCCCCUGCGCCUGGCCAGAUGUUCUUUUCAACCCUGUUCUCCACUCCUCGCAAGGCACUGCUGCCCCGAGCCUGUCGUCUCGGGUUCGUCCCCUCCGAGCCCUUGUUUUGACGGGUUCAGACUUCAGGGGUCACCCCCUCUCCAUCCGCGGAGCCCUCAUUGCAGCGGGAUCAGUCCCGCGGGAACACCGCGUCCCUGUCCCCAAAGCCCUUACACUGACCACCACACUUACCUCUGUUACUGUGGUGAAAACUCUUCAGCCUUGGUAACAAGCUCGGUGACCUCCCCUCCUCUCACUCAUCGGCCCCCACGAACCAACCCUGUGGUUUCUUCCCCACUCACUCAUGUGUAUUUGGAAACUGGCCCCACGAUUUCACCUGUCACUCAUGGUUGUCAGGGAACUGGCCUCAUGAUUUCACCUCCCGUUGCUCACCCGCCCGUGGAAACUAGACCUAUAAUUUCCCCACCCCUUUCUCACAGGGCUUUGGCGAUCUCACAGAUCUCCUCUCUGGACCCUCCCUGGUCCUCAGGGAGAAGUUAUAAUGAUCCUCCGCUUUCCUCAGCAUCUUCCCCACCCACUGGCCAGUUUUACCAAGGGCAUCUUAAGCCUCCAGACUCUUGUGAACCUAAACCACAGCUUGACCAACACCUUGGGAAAAAUUGUGGCUCCCCACUUUCUUCUCAGGCAUGUGCGGCUGACUGUCCCAGCUCACCUCAGGAGGACUAUCAGUAUUCCCAUCUCCCCCCAAAGACCCACAUAUCUGCCCCUGGGAGUCCUUAUUGUGUCGUUCUCCUACCACCUGGGAUUACUGGUUCUUCUUGCUCACCCCAGUCCCAGGCUCCCAGGAAGCCUUGCUUUGAGUCCAUUGUCUCCUGGCAGGCCGGUGGGCGCUCUUACCUAUUUUCUGGUACCCCGGUUUCUGGUCCCCUCUGUCCCCAGGAAACACCUCUCCCCCUGUCCUCUCCCUGUCCUUUUUCUGCCUUCACCCCUUCACCCCAGGGCAACACACCGCAGUCACCCCUCUGUGGAAGCUAUAAUGAACCCCCUCUCCUUACUCCAGUUUGCCCCCAAGAGAAGUCCCCCAAAUCCCCACAGUUAAAACAGUCACGUGCUCCCCACAGAUGUCGCUCCCUGGUCACCCCUUCCCAGAACACUCCUGCUGAGCAAUCCAGGCCCUCUAAGGUCAGCACCUGUCCUAUACCUCCCUCCCAUCUUUCUGUUCUCUCUGGUCCUUCUUGUAUGGUGACAUCCUUCACAACUUGCUCAAAUUCCUGCCCCAAAGAACUUCCUCAAGGGACUACCUUACCUACCCUAGUCCCUAGGACCCUCAAAACUGUUAUCCCCACUUCGCUUCCCUUCUGCCUUCCUUGUGACCCUAUCUUACCUAGUAUUUAUGCUCAGAGCUGCCCCCAUGGACCCCCCCUAAGAGCCCCUUGCAGUACCCAUAUAUAUUCUGUGGUUCCCCCCACACCUGAUCCCUGCCCACCUUCUGGUUCCACAGGUCCCCCUCAGUGUCAUAACCAGCCCAUGGUGCCCCCCUGUGGCACCUAUGGCACUCUCAGGGGCCCACCCCAAACCUAUUGCCAGCCUGUGGCACCUCCAUGUUCUACACAUAUCUAUUCUUUUAUCCCUUUGAGAACACCUUUUGACCCCAAAAGUUUACCCAUUGCCCCCCGACCCCAGUGCCACCCUGGUACUAUGCCCUGUAGCCUCCAUGUCUACUCUGUGGCUUCUCGAGCCUCACACAAAGAGUCCUUGAAGAUCCCCUACAGCUGUCCUGUGCCUUCGUCCAUGAGUUCCACCUGUAGCACUAAUCCCAGCUGUAGUUCAGCUGUUACUAGUGAAUGCCAGAACAGUGACAACCAGAACACAAAUACCCAUCAAAGCAGAAGUCGGAGCCAGAGUGAGAGUCCCCACCAUCCUAGCAGAAUUCGGAGUGAAAGCAAGAGUCUCCAUUUUUCCAGAAGUCGGAUCCAGAGCAAUAGUCUCCACCAAAGCAUAAAUCAGGAUCAAUGCGAGAGUCUUCAACUUGGAGUAUAUCAGGGACAGAGCGAGAGUCCCCAGUUGAGCAAAAGUCAGGGCCCGAGCAAGAGUGCCCUCCAUAGCGAAAGCCGGAGCCGAAGCAAGAGUCCCCACCAUGACAAGAGUCUGGGCAAGAGAGAGAGUCCCCACCACAGCAGGAACCAGAGCAAGAGUCCCCGCCAUAGCAGAAGUCAUGGUCGGAGCAAGAGUCCCGGCCAUAACCAGAAAUGAGGGCCAGAGCAAGAGUUCUGACCAAGCCAGGAUUUCAGGCCAGAGGAAAAUUCACAGAUGGGAACAGGACUGCCAGCUAUAGUAAGCUUCCCAGUUGUGGCAUCCAGGACCAACUUAUGGACUCCUCAGCUGAGGUCUUCGUUUUCCUUUUAAUCUACUUGUAUCCUCUUCAAGCCUGACUGAUGUCCUUCUAUGCUACCCCCAUAGUAGAACUUCAUCCUGGAAGUUCCCAUUUUGGUUUGUACCUCAAGGUUUCUGUGAGCUCCCCUUUUCCCACUUUCCUGGGGUCUAGGAAAUCUCCCCAAAUGACCCUCAACCCUGUUACUGAAUUAUUGUGUCGGCCACUGCAUGACCUUAGGUUAGUUACCCUUAUCACCAUCAGAUGUGGAAGGUUAAUAUUUUUUGUAUCCCACUGAGCUGUCUUGUGGUGCUCACAUAAGCUAGGAGACAUGAAAAUGCUUUAGAAGAUGGAAGGACUAUUCAGAGAGAAAGGGUCUUUUGUUUUUAAGCCUGAAGCUUCCCCCAAGACCUCCAUAGUUUCUUCCAAUUUCCUGUAGAUUUUCCUCAAGAGUCCUCUCCUGAGCUCCCAUUCUCUUAAGUUCCUCUUAUUGCAAGGCCUCAAGGAGCACUCCCUUUCUUGGCAACCCCCACAUGCUAUCAUGAGAGUUACAGCUUCCUUUUUCUCACAACCCUGAGAUAGAAAGACCAGCUCCUCACUACUUUUUCUCCUACACUUCUUCUGGCAGGCAGAGGCAGGGUGCGGAGGCAGGAGUGGGCACUAACUGGAUCCACAUUUGCCCUGGGGCUCUGAGGUAUUGGUGGAGUCAGGCAGUAGGGGAUAGAGGCAAGACUAGAAGACCUGUAAGCCUGUUCUUUCCCUUUUAGGCUGCCACAGAGCCCAAAUUUCCUGCCACUCGACUAGCUCUGCAGACUUUUGACAUGACCUACAGUAUGCAGUUUGGGGAUCUUUGGCCAUCAAUCCGGAGAGUCGGACAAGUAACCUCAUGGUACCAAAGAAGAAAUGGGACUUGCUUAGGAACCGGGGCUUGCCUAGGGGCACAGAGUUAGUACCAGAGCGGGGAAAAAAAAAAGGAGAACUUUCUGGUCUUUGAUCCAAUGCUCAGAUGUAUAUGAAGUUGAAUGAAAAAAAACCCUGUAAUCAGAUGUUAAAUUGUGCUUUACAAAUUGAGAAAAGGAAAGCUCAGUAUUAGUUGUAGGAUGUGGAAUUGAUCUUCGAAGGACUGAUUCAUUCAACAAAUUUUUAGUGUCUACCAAAUGCCAGGCAUUCUUAAUUGCCUGAGUUACAGAUGCAUAAGCCCUCAAGGAGUUUACAGUCUAAUGAGGAAGACAGCUAUUAAAAAACUAUUCAUGAUUUUGAUAAAUAUUAUAAAGGAAAAGUACAAGAUGUUAUGAAGUCAUAUAUUAGGAGAUUUAACCCACUCUUUUCUGAGGAUGUGAAAUUUAAGCUAAGACCUGAAAACUGAGUAGGAAUUAAAGCUGGUGGCAUGGAAGUGGGGAGUGGGGGUAAGAAGCUAAAUAAGAGGUUACAGAAGCAGGCAGGAGCAAGAAUAUGAAGGUUUUAUAGGCCAUAUGGGAUUUUGGACUUUAAGAGGAAGAGGGAGCCAUGAAAGGUUUUAAGCUGAGGAAUGACAUGACCAGAUUUGAAUUUUUAAAAUAUCAUUCUGGCUGCUGUGUUGUGUAGGAAACAGAUUGGAGAGGGGCAAGGCUAGAAAAGGGGAUGUAAGUUAGGAGUCUUGGAAUAGCUCUAGCUACCGGCAUGAGGGAAAGCUGUAUGCUUAAGAGUAGUAGGUAAAGAGGUUGGAAAAGUAUAUGGGGUGUCGUGUGUGGCAAUCUUGAAUGCUAGGAGCUUGCAGGUUGGGGAAAGGGGAUUUUUCUGGUGGCCCAGGGUUGCUUAAAAAUGGCUGAAAUUGCAGGGCUGGACGGCUUCAGACCAUGUGCCCUUUAGUAUGUAUUGCUGUAAAUUGCCAAGAACUGUUCUAGAGAACCACCAGAAAGGGUUUCAGAGCAGGGGAAAGGCAAUAAUGCACAGUGGUUAUAAGCAUGGGCUUUGGAAUCAAGAAAACCUAGAUUUGGAUCCUGCCUUCAUCACUUAUUAGGUGUGUGGCAUUGCUUAACUGAGCCUUGCUUUCCUUAUCUGGAAAAUAAUGGUAGUAAUAGCUGACACUGUAGUUCACUAUGUGCCACUGGAUUUGUAUUAAUUCCUUUAAUCCUUACAAUAAUCCUACCUGCUAGGUACUGUUAUUACAGAUGAGGAUACAGAGAAGUUGAGUAAUGUACUGAAAGUCAAACAACUAAUGAGCAACUGGGCUGGAUUUGAGAUCCAGGCAAUCUGGCUCUGGAAUUCGAGUUCUCCUGCCUCAUAGAGUUAUGGCUUGGCAGCCUGGGUGUCAUGGACUACUACCUGAUGGAUGCUGCUUCCUUGCUGCCUGUCCUGGCUCUUGGCCUGCAGCCUGGCGACACC